rnacentral:rRNA from 1 species
UACCAGCACCCCGAGUGGUCGGGACGUUUAUUGGGCCUAAAGCGUCCGUAGCCGGUUCUACAAGUCUUCCGUUAAAUCCACCUGCUUAACAGAUGGGCUGCGGAAGAUACUAUGGAGCUAGGAGGCGGGAGAGGCAAGCGGUACUCGAUGGGUAGGGGUAAAAUCCGUUGAUCCAUUGAAGACCACCAGUGGCGAAGGCGGCUUGCCAGAACGCGCUCGACGGUGAGGGAUGAAAGCUGGGGGAGCAAACCGG